UACAGAGGUCCCGAGCGUUGUUCGGAUUCACUGGGCGUAAAGGGUGCGUAGGUGGUGAGGUAAGUCGGGCGUGAAAUGCCGGGGCUCAACCCCGGGACUGCGUCCGAUACUUCCGAGCUGGAGGUAGGUAGGGGAGAUCGGAAUUCCUGGUGUAGCGGUGAAAUGCGCAGAUAUCAGGAGGAACACCGGUGGCGAAGGCGGAUCUCUGGGCCUUACCUGACGCUGAGGCGCGAAAGCUAGGGGAGCGAACAGG
rnacentral:rRNA from 1 species